AACGAACGCUGGCGGCAUGCCUAACACAUGCAAGUCGAACGAGACCUUCGGGUCUAUUGGCGCACGGGUGCGUAACGCGUGGGAAUCUGCCCUUGGGUUCGGAAUAACAGUUGGAAACGACUGCUAAUACCGGAUGAUGACGUAAGUCCCAAGAUUUAUCGCCCAAGGAUGAGCCCGCGUAGGAUUAGCUAGUUGGUGAGGUAAAGGCUCACCAAGGCGACGAUCCUUAGCUGGUCUGAGAGGAUGAUCAGCCACACUGGGACUGAGACACGGCCCAGACUCCUACGGGAGGCAGCAGUGGGGAAUAUUGGACAAUGGGCGAAAGCAUGAUCCAGCAAUGCCGCGUGAGUGAUGAAGGCCUUAGGGUUGUAAAGCUCUUUUACCCGGGAUGAUAAUGACAUUACCGGGAGAAUAAGCUCCGGCUAACUCCGUG
rnacentral:rRNA from 1 species